rnacentral:rRNA from 1 species
GACGAACGCUGGCGGCGUGCUUAACACAUGCAAGUCGAACGGAAAGGCCCUGCUUUUGUGGGGUGCUCGAGUGGCGAACGGGUGAGUAACACGUGAGUAACCUGCCCUUGACUUUGGGAUAACUUCAGGAAACUGGGGCUAAUACCGGAUAGGAGCUCCUGCUGCAUGGUGGGGGUUGGAAAGUUUCGGCGGUUGGGGAUGGACUCGCGGCUUAUCAGCUUGUUGGUGGGGUAGUGGCUUACCAAGGCUUUGACGGGUAGCCGGCCUGAGAGGGUGACCGGCCGCAUUGGGACUGAGAUACGGCCCAGACUCCUACGGGAGGCAGCAGUGGGGAAUAUUGCACAAUGGGCGGAAGCCUGAUGCGGCAACGCCGCGUGCGGGAUGACGGCCUUCGGGUUGUAAACCGCUUUCGCCUGUGACGAAGCGUGAGUGACGGUAAUGGGUAAAGAAGCACCGGCUAACUACGUG